UUUUUGCUUUGCUGCAGGAGCGGCGGAGGCUGCAAGAGCGCAUCCUAGCCACCCGGCGGGAACUGGAGGAAGAGAGACUGCGAGUCCAACGCCUCAAGAGGAAAUCCCUGCGUGAACGGUGGUUGAUGGAGGGAACAUCAAUGCCUGCUGAUGACAAGGAUCACAUGUCUUCUCUUUGGAAAGCAGAGUCUCGCGUCCAAGACUUAGAACAAGAUCUGUCCAGUCUUCAGUCUCAAAUGCAGGACCUAGAUAAUAUGGACCUUCCCGAAGGACAGCAGCAGCAGCCUCUGAAGGAGGUGAAGCCAUUGGAUGGCAUUGUGAAGGUACUUAUUAUUA
rnacentral:lncRNA from 1 species